CAACCCCUAUUGAUUCUAGGUUUGGCCAAAACAUCCAUAUAUUCCCAUUCCCAAAUCCAUCAUAAAAACCAUUUCUUCAAUCUCAUUACCCAAAUUAACCAAACCUCACCAUCAAAUCUCUCAACUCUCACACUUUUCCCCAAAUCUAAACCCUAACCCUAGGCUUCCGCCAUGACCAGCGACACCGAAGAACGCAAACACCGUCGCACCUCCGACGACGAAUCGGAAGAACCGUCCAAGCGCCACAAGCACCGUCACCACCACCGUCGCCGCCACCACCGUCAUCACAGCCGCAAGCACGACGAUAUACGCGAGGAGGAAGAUGAUGAACAGAUUACGGACAUGCCACCGCCUUCUCUGCCGCCGUUGCCGGUUAAUCGGACGGUUGAGUAUGAUAUGGAGGAAGGAGAGAUUGUGGAAGAAGACGGUGGUGAUGUGGUGGUGAAGAAGGUUGCGGAUUCGGAUGCUGAGUCUGGAGAAAUUGGAGAAAUUGAAACGGGAAAACAUGGUGAUACGGUAGAGUUUAAUCAUAGUCUUAGUUUGCCUUUAGAUGAUGAAAGUAAUGGCUCCAAGACUAAGGAGCAUAAUGAUAAUGGGCAUACAAGAAUUGAGUCUAAAAAAGGAAGCAGUAACAGAAAGAGUCAUUAUGAUGAUGAUUACGAGACAAGGGACCGUAAAAAACCGAAUGAAGAUUAUAUGAAAGCUCGUAAAGACUCACCAAGCAAGCACACACAUGAAAGAAGACGUGAAGAAGAUACUACAACAAGUAGAUCCAGGUCUCAUGACCACAGUAGGGCCCGUUCUAGGUCUCGAUCCCAAAGCAUUUCUCGAGGGGCUUCUCGACUUGAGAAACACGAAGAUGUUGAGCAUUAUAGAAGCAAGAAAAGUAGCGGGAAUAGCGACGAUGAAAGGGCAACUGCACGCAUGAAAGAUUACAGACAUGGGAGCCGAGAUGUGGUUAGGGAUAAAGAAAGAGAACGUAGUUCUAGUCGUAGCAGACAUAGUCUAGAUACCCGCGAUGCAGAUAGAGAUAGAUAUAGAGAGAGGGAUUUGAGAGAAUUUGAGAGAGAGAGAAUGAGAAAAGAGAGAGAAAGGGAAGCGGAUAGGGAGAGAGAGAGGGGCAUGAGAGAGAGGGAUAGGGAAAGGGACAUGAGAGAGAGGGAUAGGGAAAGGGACAUGAGAGAGAGGGAUAGGGAAAGGGAAAGGGACAUGAGAGAUAGGGAGCGGGGGCGAGAAAGAGAGAGGGGAAGACGGGACCGGGAGCGUGGCGUAGAUUCAGAGAGAGAAAACAGUAGAAAUAGAAGAAGUUAUAACUACAAUGAUGGUGAUCGUGACAGGAGCAAUGAUUACAAACACCAUAGACAUGAAGAAACUGACUAUAGAGAUAAAUCGAGGAAAUAUGAUCGGCAAAAAGAUGAUUCCUCCAAAGCUGUAGAUGCAGAUGCUGAGAAGAUUAAAAGAGAGGAGGUUGAUGAAGAGGCAUAUCAAGACAAAAGUGCCUUGCAAGUUGAGGAGGACGAUGAAGAAGAAGAUUUGAACAGAAUAAAGGAAGAGAGUAGAAGACGUAUUCAAGCCAUUCUUGAAAAGUACAAGACUAAGCCAAUGCAGCAGCAGCAGCAGCCACUGCCACCUCAGUUAGUGGAUGAAGCUAAAGAGAACGUGGAAGAGUCUGUAGGUGCAGCUAAUGUAAACUCACGCGAUCUUGACGGUCAAGGAGAAGGGUCUGAUACUAACAUUGGUGACACACCGUUUUCUGUUGGGAGAUCACCACCACAAAAUGGCAAUUCUGGCGUUCAGAGGGCCUCUGGUGCUGGUGGUCUGGGAGAGGGUACCCCAAAGAGUGAGAGAUCAAACGGGGAUGAUAUAUUUGGUGAAUCUCCACCUAGAGCACGUGAAAUGAAUGAGAGAUCAAAUGACAUGUUCUCUGAUGAUAUAUUUGGAGAAUCACCAGCUGGAGUGCGAAAAUCUGGAAAGGGUGACGGUUUGACCGUUCAGAGAAGUGGUCUUCAGGAUAACUGGGAUGAUGCAGAAGGUUACUACAGUUACCGUUUCGGGGAAAUACUUGAUGGUAGGUAUGAAGUUAUCGCUGCUCAUGGUAAAGGUGUCUUUUCAACAGUGGUUCGUGCUAAAGAUCUCAAAGCUGGAUCUAAUGAUCCAGAAGAAGUAGCUAUAAAAAUCAUACGCAACAAUGAUAAAAUGUAUAAAGCUGGUUUAGAAGAGUUGGUGAUACUGAAGAAAUUAGUCGGUGCUGAUUUGGAGGACAGGCGUCAUUGCGUUCGGUUUCUUUCCAGUUUCAAGUACCGGAAUCAUCUUUGUUUAGUUUUUGAAUCUCUUCAUAUGAAUCUUCGUGAAGUGUUAAAGAAGUUUGGUCGUAAUAUUGGUCUGAAAUUAACUGCUGUACGGGCUUAUGGUAAACAGCUUUUCAUUGCUCUAAAACAUCUUAGAAACUGUGGAGUCCUUCAUACAGACAUCAAGCCUGAUAACAUGCUGGUCAAUGACGCCAAGAAUGUUCUAAAGCUUUGUGACUUUGGGAAUGCUAUGUUUGCUGGGAAAAACGAGAUCACACCGUACCUCGUGAGUCGGUUUUAUCGUGCCCCUGAAAUAAUUUUAGGGUUGACUUAUGAUCAUCCUGUUGAUAUGUGGUCUGUCGGUUGCUGUUUGUUCGAGCUUUAUACCGGGAAAGUUCUGUUCCCAGGUGCUACAAACAACGAUAUGCUUCGCCUUCACAUGGAACUGAAAGGCUCUUUCCCUAAAAAGAUGCUCCGAAAGGGAGCAUUUACGGAACUUCAUUUCGAUCAAGAUCUUAACUUUGUUGCUAUAGAAGAGGACCCUGUUACCAAGAAGACUGUAAAAAGGCUGGUUAAUAUGAAGGCAAAAGACAUUGGUUCAAUAGUUACGGGCUCACCUGGGGAGGAUCCGAAGAUGUUAGCCAACUUUAAGGAUCUUUUAGAGAAGAUAUUUAUAUUAGAUCCCGAUAAGAGGCUAACGGUGCAGCAGGCACUGAGUCAUCCAUUCAUCACGGACGUUUGGAUACAGUUCCUGACAUGGCCCAAGUCAGCAGUUGACCUCGUGGCGGUGGAAUGUGUUCUGUUGAUCUGUUCUAUUCUCCCAGUGCUAUGAAGCGCCACCUGGCAAUGCUUUAGAUCUUUAAUGGCACUCUGGAGAAGGUAUCUUGGUUUUGUCUGUUUGGCGUUUCUUAUUGUGACAAGUUAUGAUUUUAAAGUCAGAAAGUCUUUCUGAUUGUAGGAUAUAUAGGUGUGCCGAUUUAGAUAUCACAUAGCUAGUUAGUUAGUUAGUUAGUUACGCAAUGAAAUCUAUAUUCUAAUGAAUCUCUAUUCCACCUGAUUCAUGGUUUGGUCACUCUGGAUGAUGAUCAUGCAUGGACGCGAUUGUGCUGGAGCUUUGAAGCAUGAUUACAUUCGGGUACAGUCUGUCAGGUUCUUCAACUUCUGUAAGUAUAGAUGUUCCUUCCCUCAUUGUGAACGUGCAUCUGCUAGUGAUACACACACUCAGCAUUGAAUUUUAGCUCAUUAGUAGAUAGAAAAUGUAAGUUGAGUUAGCCUAUAAAGCAUACUAGAGGUGGCAAAAUAGACAGGUCUGGUUUUGGGUCCUUUUAGAAAGGAAGCCGGGUAAAAAAUGGGUUGGGUUGACGUGCUUGUCUUUCAAUGACGCAGCAUUUAAAAUUUUAUCAUAAUCAGUCACUACUAGGUUCUUUUUUGCCUCCUUUUAAAGGUUUAUUAGGGUAGAAUAAUUAGGUGAGGGAUAACAUGUGGUUUUUAUUAGGGUAGAAUAAUUAUUUUUUCCAAGAAACUUUAUAAAGUCGUACGAUUUGUUAUAAAAGGUAUUUGCUGAUGUAGACGCCACUUAUCAACUUAUGUUUGCAAGUAUGUAACCUGUGUUCAAGUCGUUAGAAGUUGCUAGCCAAUUGAAGUUAUGUUAAUUGUUGCUAUGAUUGAUAAAAAGAUGAAAGCAGGGUACUAUUUACAACCAUUAUAUUACAGAAUAGUAAUUAACUUUGAUUGGUCAAUUUUUAAUUCUAGUAUUUUGUGCAUAUUAUCUAUAAUCAUUGAAUAAAGUGUGAAAUAAAGUUAGUUAUUUGUUUAUUAAGUGUUUAUAUAAUACUUUAAUUCAAAAGUGUUUUGUAUAUAUUAUUAUAGUUCAAUUUAAUUUAAUGAUAUAAAAACAUAUUUUUUAAAAAUAUUUGACUUUUUUUUCCUUUUUUAUUUUUAGUCUUUUUCUAUCAUAGCCAUUCGCAAAUCGUAAGUCUUACUUUUUUUUAGAAUUUUUUAAUUAGCUUUUCUAUUUUCUUUCCUUUUUAUUUAAAUCUCAAAAUACAUCAGUACGAUGAUCUAAUUUUACUUACGCUUCCAUAUAAAUUGUCAGACUAUAUUUUGGGUUUUUUUUUUUCCUUAUGGUACCUAUAGCGAGUGUCAUUACCAUAACGAACUGAACGUAUAUUUAUCGAAUUCCCGCGCAGCAGCGCGCGGGUAACAUAGUUGUCAAUAGCAAUCGCUAUAGCGCGCUACGUAGCGUAUAGGUCUAGUGUCGCUAUUAGGGUUGUAGCGAUGGAUAGCGAGUAGCAACACUUUAGUUUUUUUUGUUUUUUUUUAUUAUAAAUAACAAUUAAAUAUAGCUAUAAAUAGCUGGAUUUUAGGUUUUUGUUAAAUACACAUGUAAAAUAGCAUAUAAACCGGGGUAUUUUUAUAUAACAUACAUAUACAUUUUUUUUCUAGUGUAUCGCUAUUUAUAAAAUAGCCCCCGCUAUUUAUCGCUAUUCGCUAUGUAGCAUAUAGAUCCUUUAUCGCUAUUUGUCGCUAUUCGUCAUUAACAACUAUGGCGGGUAAUUUCACUAGUUAUUACAGAGUUAAUUGCUGUUUUCGUCCCUGUGUUCAGUCCUUUGGUUUAAAAAUUCGAUUUCAGUCCCUGUGGUUUCACUUUUGUAACCAUUUCAGUCCAUGCGGUUUUACUUUCGUAACCCAUUCAAUCCAUUUAUUUUGGUAGUACAGGCUGAAAUGGUUACGUGGUGGACUGAUCAGACUUUUAGUAUUUUAUAUACUAGAAAACCCACAUGAUAAUGAGUUAAAACUAUUUCUGUUGGGGCAAAUUGGUAAUUUUGUGUCUGGAGGGUAAGAUUGUUUGGAAGAUGAGCGUGUCAAUAGACAGUUUUGAGUUAGCCCAACACAACCCAUUUUAACCCGCACCAAAACCAAUUAUUUUGGUUCAUAUGCUGUGGACUUGAUUAUUGUGAUGCCUGGUUUGUUUUUAUUUUAUUUUCCGGCGCAAAAAUGUGCAGAAUGUUUUUUUUUUCUUUCGGUUAUGUAUAUGAAGAAUGAGAAAUAGCAGGUUUGCAGAUCAUGUUGUGCAGAAUGUUAUGUUCUCAUUUGUUUUUUCCAGUCAUGCUCAUUUUUUCUUUUUUUUUUUCCUUCCAUUUUUUAAACCAAAGUAAUAUAUAUUUUCUGAGUGCUAUAUAAGCUGUGUUUUACAUUUUUUAAAUUUUAAUAUUGAAGGUUAUUAUGUGAAUAUGCUCGUAAAUUUUUUGCAAAUAUGUCUACAUUCUGAAUUAACAUGUUUUGUGUGUAAUACUGUAAUGUUUGUUUUAUCAAAUUUGGAAUUGAUUACACCAAGUUACACUAACACAUAUAUAUUAUCCAGUUUUAAAACUAUAUAAUGGAAAUAUUAUGUUAGAAAGCAUAAAGCCUAAAGUCUUAAUAUUAUAGAGUUAUAAAAAUUAUAAGUGUUGUUAAAAAUUGGUGUGUAAAAGAUUGAUUUUAACGAAAUAUUUUUUUUUCUACUUUCAAGCUAGUUUUAUAAACAAGCUUACAAUUGUGUUUAAAGUAAUUGCUUCAUUUAUAGUUGUUUUAUCAUUGUUAUCAUGCUUACUAAUAUAGUAAUAUCCUUGUAUUCUACCCUUUAUUUCUUUUAAUUAAUUUAUGUACAAUUUAAGUUACGUAUUUAAAAUUACUUGAUGCAAAAUACUCGUCAAAAAAUCUGAUCGAGACACCAUUAUCUUAGAAGGCAAGGUCAUGAUGAUAUUUUUAAUAUUAGAAGUGCUUUUAGUUUCAAAAAUGAUACCAAUAAGGAUGUUUUCAUUUAUUUAUUUAAUUUUGUUUAUUAGUUUGUAGUUUUUUAUUUUAAUUAACUUAUAUGUAGUUUUUAUUUUUCUUUUUCAAUUAAUCUAUUUGUAAUUUUUUUUCUUUUUUAUUUAAUUAACGUUCUAUGUUUUUCUUUUUUGGUCUACUCGCUAUAUGAUUUUUUCUUCAUUUUUAACUAACUACAAAUAGAAAACAAAAAAAAAAAAGUUAAAGCUUAUAACUUGAUGGUGUUAAUUUCAAAUACAAGUGAACAUAAAUUUGUUAAGUGAAGUUUAUUCACUGGUGGUGCUGGUAUAAAAUGACAGUUAAAAGAAAUAUAUCAAAACAGGUUUAGGUAGCCACACUAUGUCGGUCUUUUUCCGUUCUUCCUACAAAUACCACACUAUGGCGGUCUUUUUCCAUUCUUGCUACAAAUACCACACUAUGUUGGUCUUUUUCCUUCUUUGAUGUUUAUUCCCUUUCGUAGCCUUGUUGAGCGACAGCGACUUUUAAUUCCGUGUUAGAUCUGAAGUGGAAGGAAUCCUUUAGUGGAUGAUUUGUGUGGCCAAUAUGCUCUUACUGUAAAGUUAGCACUUGGGUCUUGCAUGCUAGAAACCGAUCUCGAGGCUCGAGAAGCCAAAUUAUGCAUAUGUACUAUUCUCGAUUCCUUGGAUCCACAUCUUACUCGGCUUUGUCAAUUUUGGUUUAUACAUUCGCCUCACACCCGUUUUGUAUUACGGUUUUCUGAUUCAUUCUGAUAAAAAGUACAUGAAGUUGUGAUUGGAUACGAUCUGAUGCAUAAAUGGUUUGAUGUUAUAUGAUAUAUGAUGCAUUAUGAUGCGUUAUGUGAAAACCUAAACUCGUCUAACAUGUCGAAUGUAAAGGUUUGAUGUUUUAUAUCUGGUGCAUUACGAGAAAUCAAAUUACAGUUGUUAAUUGAAUCAACAUAAAAUCAAGCUGAAUGCAAGAAUAUGUUAAAUGCACAAACGUGGAGAUAAAUACCAUAUCAGACCACAUAAAAUGACUGAAUCGUGGAGACAGGCGAAUCAACACAAAAUCCCUAUUUUGAACUGUGGAGAUAAACGGAUCAACACAAAAUCCUUGUUUUGAAUUUAUAAACGGAUCAACGCAAAAUUGUUGAAGGAAUCGUUAACAUCAUUGAACCACAAAGUUGGAACGCCCGAUAAAAUCAAGAACCUGAUGAAAAUGACGGAAAUCGCCUGUUGAUGGCAAGUUGCCUGUGAAAAUUGCUCUGAUGAGAAUAUAUCCCAAAUGAGAGUUGUUGAUGAAAAUUGCUAAUGGUGGAUACUAGAAAGUCACUGAGCUAUGGAAGAGUUGGUUUUACUUAUUAGUUUUCACCCAUUUUGGUCAUUGUUCAAAUCGUCCAUUGUAGUAGAUAAGAAGAGUUGUAUUGUCUUUGAGAGAGAGUGUUGCUAAGGUGAGAAAAUAGAAAAAAUUAAGAAAUUGUUUUUUUUUU